rnacentral:tmRNA from 1 species
GGGCGCGCACUGGAUUUGAUUUAAAUUGGAUCAAGUAUGUUGCAAGUCGAAGAGAUGCCCGGCUUCGUUAAAAGGCAUAACUUCUUACAUGGCAAAAAUAAAAGUCGUGUUGAGGCAUUCGCUCCUCGUAGCGAAAGUCUCGCAUUAGCAGCCUAAACACCUGCUACCUCUCCCUAUCAGACGCAGAUACGAUAGGUGAGAGGUCCCCCAUCUGCAAAACAGAAAAAGUUUACUUGUAUCACAAACUGCAAAUAAUUGAAACAAGCAGUUGGAUGCUGAUAUCAUAACUAUAAAAAAAAUCAGCUAAACUUGUAGACGCAUAUUUGUUAAGAUUUAAAGACGCGAGUUCGACUCUCGCCGCGUCCACCA